UACGUAGGGUGCAAGCGUUAAUCGGAAUUACUGGGCGUAAAGCGUGCGCAGGCGGUUUUGUAAGUCUGACGUGAAAUCCCCGGGCUCAACCUGGGAAUGGCGAUGGAGACUGCAAGGCUAGAAUCUGGCAGAGGGGGGUAGAAUUCCACGUGUAGCAGUGAAAUGCGUAGAGAUGUGGAGGAACACCGAUGGCGAAGGCAGCCCCCUGGGUCAAGAUUGACGCUCAUGCACGAAAGCGUGGGGAGCAAACAGG
rnacentral:rRNA from 1 species